rnacentral:tRNA from 1 species
GGAGAGGUGGCAGAGUGGACGAAUGUACCAGUCUUGAAAACUGGCGUAGUUGAAAGGCUACCGAGGGUUCGAAUCCCUCCCUCUCCG